rnacentral:rRNA from 1 species
AUGCCAAUGGGGGAGAAGUUUCAGAGAGUUUUGUGGAGAAGUCUUCAGAGUUCUACCAUUGAACUGAAUGACUCCUUUGAUGAGACCAGCAUGCGUUUUGUGCGGCGCAUCCAGGAGUCUGAGGUGAGGGAAGCUUUAAAAAGGAUGAAAGGAGGCAAGGCGAUGGGCCCUGAUUGUAUCCCCAUUGAGGUGUGGAAAGGUCUCGAGGACAUAGCGAUAGUAUGGCUAACCAAGCUUUUCAACCUCAUUUUUCGGGCAAACAAGAUGCCAGAAGAAUGGAGACGGAGUAUAUUAGUACCAAUCUUCAAGAACAAGGGGGGUGUUCAGAGUUGUACUAAUUACCAUGGAAUUAAGCUGAUGAGCCAUACAAUGAAGCUAUGGAAGAGAGUCAUUGAGCACCGCUUAAGAAGAAUGACAAGCGUGACCAAAAAUCAGUUUGGUUUCAUGCCUGGGAGGUCGACCAUGGAAGCCAUUUUCUUGGUACGACAACUUAUGGAGAGAUAUAGGGAGCAUAAGAAGGACUUGCAUAUGGUGUUCAUUGACUUGGAGAAGGCCUAUGAUAAGAUACCGCGGAAUGUCAUGUGGUGGGCCUUGGAGAAACACAAAGUCCCAGCAAAGUACAUUACCCUCAUCAAGGACAUGUACAAUAAUGUUGUGACAAGUGUUCGAACAAGUGAUGUCGACAUCGAUGACUUCCCGAUUAAGAUAGGACUGCAUCAGGGGUCAGCUUUGAGCCCUUAUCUUUUUGCAUUGGUGAUGGAUGAGGUCACAAGGGGUAUACAAGGAGAUAUCCCAUGGUGUAUGCUCUUUGCGGAUGAUGUGGUGCUAGUUGACGAUAGUCGGACAGGGGUAAAUAGGAAGUUAGAGUUAUGGAGACAAACCUUGGAAUCGAAAGGGUUUAGGCUUAGUAGAACUAAAACCGAGUACAUGAUGUGCGGUUUCAGUACUACUAGCUGUGAGGAGGAGGAGGUUAGCCUUGAUGGCCAGGUGGUACCUCGGAAGGACACCUUUCGGUAUUAG